rnacentral:rRNA from 1 species
GCACAAUGGACGAAAGUCUGAUGCAGCAACGCCGCGUGAGGGACGAAGGCCUUCGGGUUGUAAACCUCUUUUAGCAGGGAAGAAGCGAAAGUGACGGUACCUGCAGAAAAAGCACCGGCUAACUACGUGCCAGCAGCCGCGGUAAUACGUAGGGUGCAAGCGUUGUCCGGAAUUAUUGGGCGUAAAGAGCUCGUAGGCGGUUUGUCGCGUCUGCUGUGAAAUUUCGAGGCUCAACCUCGAACUUGCAGUGGGUACGGGCAGGCUAGAGUGCAGUAGGGGAGAUGGGAAUUCCUGGUGUAGCGGUGGAAUGCGCAGAUAUCAGGAGGAACACCAAUGGCGAAGGCACAUCUCUGGGCUGUAACUGACGCUGAGGAGCGAAAGCGUGGGGAGCGAACAGGAUUAGAUACCCUGGUAGUCCACGCCGUAAACGGUGGGUGCUAGCUGUGGGCCACAUUCCACGUGGUCCGUGACGAAGUUAACACAUUAAGCACC